ACUCAAAGGAAUUGACGGGGGCCCGCACAAGCGGUGGAGCAUGUGGUUCAAUUCGACGCAACGCGAAGAACCUUACCUGGGCUUGAACCGCGGACGACAAUUCUGGAAACAGGAUCUUCCUUCGGGACGUCCGUAGAGGUGCUGCAUGGCUGUCGUCAGCUCGUGUCGUGAGAUGUUGGGUUAAGUCCCGCAACGAGCGCAACCCUUGUCCCUAGUUGCCAGCGGGUGAUGCCGGGAACUCUAGGGAGACUGCCUCGGAAAACGAGGAGGAAGGUGGGGAUGACGUCAAGUCCUCAUGGCCUUUAUGUCCAGGGCUACACACGUGCUACAAUGGGCGGCACAAAGGGUUGCGAUGCCGCGAGGUGGAGCUAAUCCCAAAAAACCGUCCCCAGUUCGGAUUGCAGUCUGCAACUCGACUGCAUGAAGGUGGAAUCGCUAGUAAUCGCGGAUCAGCACGCCGCGGUGAAUACGUUCCCGGGCCUUGCACACACCGCCCGU
rnacentral:rRNA from 1 species